AACUAAAAAGCUUUAUAGUAUUUCACUUACACUGAAAUGAAUCUAAAAAAUCAUUUAAUUAC
rnacentral:tRNA from 1 species